rnacentral:rRNA from 1 species
GAUGAACGCUAGCUACAGGCUUAACACAUGCAAGUCGAGGGGCAGCAUGGACAUAGCUUGCUAUGUUUGAUGGCGACCGGCGCACGGGUGCGUAACACGUAUCCAAUCUGCCCGUUACUCGGGGAUAGCCUUCUGAAAGGAAGAUUAAUACCCGAUGGCAUGUAUUUCCGGCAUCGGAGAUACAUUAAAGAUUUAUCGGUAACGGAUGAGGAUGCGUACGAUUAGCUUGUUGGCGGGGUAACGGCCCACCAAGGCGACGAUCGUUAGGGGUUCUGAGAGGAAGGUCCCCCACACUGGAACUGAGACACGGUCCAGACUCCUACGGGAGGCAGCAGUGAGGAAUAUUGGUCAAUGGUCGGAAGACUGAACCAGCCAAGUAGCGUGAAGGGUGACUGCCCUACGGGUUGUAAACUUCUUUUGUUUGGGAAUAAAAGACGCUACGUGUAGCGUUCUGCAUGUACCUUACGAAUAAGCAUCGGCUAAUUCCGUGCCAGCCGCCGCGGUAAGAC